rnacentral:tRNA from 1 species
GGUAAAAUGACUGAGGUUGAAAGUGAUAAAUUGUAAAUUUAUUUAGGAGAAUUUCUCUUUUACCA